ACCCUGGGCACACUGUGUCCUGCACCCUCUCACUCCCUCUUGGUCUCUUUCCCAUCAAAGACGAUGGCUGGGGAAAUGUGAAAGAGAAAUUCUAGCCAGGAGAGUCCUGGUACUACCCUUCAGCUGCUGGAUCAAGUUCACCGGGCUUGGUCAACAAAUUAGAUGGGAAGCUUUAACCCACAGCCCACCUGUCUCCCACCAGGGUGGAUGGACUGUAUCUGCAAAGUCAGCUUGGCUACUGCCAAAAAGGAAAAUGCUCAAACUCCCCGUGGCAGUUUUUUAGCUGUGCCAAAGGACCUAACAGGAAUAAACACCUACCCUGGAAGAGAAGAACUUUCUCCACAUGAAACCCAUCAGAAGAGGACUUCCACCCCAAAGGCAAAUGGGGACCGGGCUGACUGACUACUGGACAGCCAGGAACAGAGUGAGCGUCUGCCCUGAUGAUGGACACAGAGGCCUGUUCCAGGAUUUAAUUAUUGGGAAUUGUGCUGCUAUAAACAUGUGCAAAACCCUGCUCACGAGCAAGCUGCUUGCAAUGAAGAGGAACCCAGAGCAGCCUGAAUGCCCGGCACAGAGGAUCAACCGCAUAAACUGUGCUCUGUUUCUGCAUUAAACACCCAACUAUAUAGUAGGCAAUUAAAU